rnacentral:rRNA from 1 species
AGCGGAGGGAUCAUUACCGAGUUUACAACUCCCAAACCCAAUGUGAACGUUACCAAACUGUUGCCUCGGCGGGAUCUCUGCCCCGGGUGCGUCGCAGCCCCGGACCAAGGCGCCCGCCGGAGGACCAACCAAAACUCUUAUUGUAUACCCCCUCGCGGGUUUUUUACUAUCUGAGCCAUCUCGGCGCCCCUCGUGGGCGUUUCGAAAAUGAAUCAAAACUUUCAACAACGGAUCUCUUGGUUCUGGCAUCGAUGAAGAACGCAGCGAAAUGCGAUAAGUAAUGUGAAUUGCAGAAUUCAGUGAAUCAUCGAAUCUUUGAACGCACAUUGCGCCCGCCAGUAUUCUGGCGGGCAUGCCUGUCCGAGCGUCAUUUCAACCCUCGAACCCCUCCGGGGGGUCGGCGUUGGGGAUCGGCCCUUUACGGGGCCGGCCCCGAAAUACAGUGGCGGUCUCGCCGCAGCCUCUCCUGCGCAGUAGUUUGCACACUCGCAUCGGGAGCGCGGCGCGUCCACAGCCGUUAAACACCCCAAACUUCUGAAAUGUUGACCUCGGAUCAGGUAGGAAUACCCGCUGAACUUAAAGCAUAUCAAUAAGCGGAGGAA